rnacentral:rRNA from 1 species
UGACGCAGCACGCCGCGUGAGUGAGAGGCCUUCGGGUUGUAAAGCUCUGUUAAGAUAGAAAGAAAAAGCCUUCGGGCCCUGACGGUACUAUCUCAGGAAGCACCGGCUAACUCCGUGCCAGCAGCCGCGGUAAUACGGAGGGUGCAAGCGUUGUUCGGAAUUAUUGGGCGUAAAGCGUGCGUAGGCGGACUGUUAAGUCUGAUGUGAAAUCCCGCGGCUCAACCGCGGACGUGCAUUGGAUACUGGCAGUCUUGAGUCCCGGAGAGGAGAGCGGAAUUCCUAGUGUAGAGGUGAAAUUCGUAGAUAUUAGGAGGAACACCAGUGGCGAAAGCGGCUCUCUGGACGGUGACUGACGCUGAGGCACGAAAGCAUAGGUAGCAAACAGGAUUAGAUACCCUGGUAGUCUAUGCCGUAAACGAUGGGCACUAGUCGGUGCGGGUAUUGACCCCUGCGCUGACGAAGCUAACGCAUUAAGUGCCCCGCCUGGGGAGUACGGCCGCAAGGCUAAAACU